rnacentral:rRNA from 1 species
AACGAACGCUGGCGGCAGGCUUAACACAUGCAAGUCGAACGGCUGUAGCAAUACAGCAGUGGCAGACGGGUGAGUAACACGUGGGAACCUUCCUAGGGGUACGGAACAACUCAGGGAAACUUGAGCUAAUACCGUAUACGUCCGAAAGGAGAAAGAUUUAUCGCCCUUAGACGGGCCCGCGUCGGAUUAGCUAGUUGGUGGGGUAACGGCCUACCAAGGCGACGAUCCGUAGCUGAUCUGAGAGGAUGAUCAGCCACACUGGGACUGAGACACGGCCCAGACUCCCACGGGAGGCAGCAGUGGGGAAUCUUGGACAAUGGGCGCAAGCCUGAUCCAGCCAUGCCGCGUGAGUGAAGAAGGCCUUAGGGUUGUAAAGCUCUUUUGGCAGGGAUGAUAAUGACAGUACCUGGAGAAUAAGCUCCGGCUAACUCCGUGCCAGCCGCCGCGGUAAAAC